rnacentral:rRNA from 1 species
GAUGAACGCUGGCGGCGUGCCUAACACAUGCAAGUCGAGCGAACCCCUCGGGGUGAGCGGCGGACGGGUGAGUAACGCGUGGGUAACCUGCCCUAUACACACGGAUAACGUACCGAAAGGUACGCUAAUACGGGAUAAUAUUGUUGGAUGGCAUCUUCUAACAAUCAAAGCUCCGGCGGUAUAGGAUGGACCCGCGUCUGAUUAGCUAGUUGGUGAGGUAAUGGCUCACCAAGGCGACGAUCAGUAGCCGACCUGAGAGGGUGAUCGGCCACACUGGAACUGAGACACGGUCCAGACUCCUACGGGAGGCAGCAGUGGGGAAUAUUGCACAAUGGGCGAAAGCCUGAUGCAGCAACGCCGCGUGAGCGAUGAAGGUCUUCGGAUCGUAAAGCUCUGUCCUCAAGGAAGAUAAUGACGGUACUUGAGGAGGAAGCCCCGGCUAUCUACGUGCCAGCCGCCGCUGUAA